UUAGAAUCGUACUUCUCUUUUGAUUUUUUCUUGGAUCCUCCAAGGAUAUUCUACUAUCUACCUUUGCGGUUGAACCAUUUAUUGCAGCCGGUUGUUUAUUUCAAUGUCUCGGACGCUUUUGGUUUUGAUUGUUUGUCUGAGUGCGUUGCGGUUGGGAGCUUCGUUGGGAUCGCGUUCGAUCCUUAGAACAGUUGCUGAUAAGAGCGGGGAUUCUGAAGAUUACGCCGUUGAUUUGAACGCCACCAAUUUCGAUGCGGUUCUCAGGGAUACUCCAGCUACCUUUGCGGUUG
rnacentral:misc_RNA from 1 species